UUUAUGGGAGGGGGGGGGUAGGAUGAAAUUUGAAAAAAAUAGGCAGGACAGGAGUUUUGAGUAAAAAAAAAAGGCAGGAUGAGACACUUGCAAAAAAAAAAAGUCAGGACGACAAUUUAGGUAAAAAAAAGACAGGAUAAACUAAAAAAAAAAAGGCUGGACCGAACAGAGUGAAAAAUAAAAAGGCAGGACAGAGAUUACAGCUAAAAAAAAAUGCAGGACAAAAUUUUUCAUCCUAGCCCCCCCAUAAAAAUCAAAUGGUAGCUCCC
rnacentral:lncRNA from 1 species